rnacentral:rRNA from 1 species
UACAGAGGUCUCAAGCGUUUGUUCGGAUUCAUUGGGCGUAAAGGGUGCGUAGGCGGCGCGGUAAGUCGGGUGUGAAAUCUCGGAGCUUAACUCCGAAACUGCAUUCGAUACUGCCGUGCUUGAGGACUGGAGAGGAGACUGGAAUUUACGGUGGUAGCGGUGAAAUGCGUAGAUAUCGUAAGGAAGACCAGUGGCGAAGGCGGGUCUCGUGGACAGUUCCUGACGCUGAGGCACGAAGGCCAGGGGAGCAAACGGGG